GGUUAAGCGACUAAGCGUACACGGUGGAUGCCCUGGCAGUCAGAGGCGAUGAAGGACGUGCUAAUCUGCGAUAAGCGUCGGUGAGGUGAUAUGAACCGUUAUAACCGGCGAUUUCCGAAUGGGGAAACCCAGUGUGUUUCGACACACUAUCAUUAACUGAAUCCAUAGGUUAAUGAGGCGAACCGGGGGAACUGAAACAUCUAAGUACCCCGAGGAAAAGAAAUCAACCGAGAUUCCCCCAGUAGCGGCGAGCGAACGGGGAGGAGCCCAGAGCCUGAAUCAGUGUGUGUGUUAGUGGAAGCGUCUGGAAAGGCGCGCGAUACAGGGUGACAGCCCCGUACACAAAAAUGCACAUGCUGUGAGCUCGAUGAGUAGGGCGGGACACGUGGUAUCCUGUCUGAAUAUGGGGGGACCAUCCUCCAAGGCUAAAUACUCCUGACUGACCGAUAGUGAACCAGUACCGUGAGGGAAAGGCGAAAAGAACCCCGGCGAGGGGAGUGAAAAAGAACCUGAAACCGUGUACGUACAAGCAGUGGGAGCCUCUUAAUGGGGUGACUGCGUACCUUUUGUAUAAUGGGUCAGCGACUUAUAUUCUGUAGCAAGGUUAACCGAAUAGGGGAGCCGAAGGGAAACCGAGUCUUAACUGGGCGUUAAGUUGCAGGGUAUAGACCCGAAACCCGGUGAUCUAGCCAUGGGCAGGUUGAAGGUUGGGUAACACUAACUGGAGGACCGAACCGACUAAUGUUGAAAAAUUAGCGGAUGACUUGUGGCUGGGGGUGAAAGGCCAAUCAAACCGGGAGAUAGCUGGUUCUCCCCGAAAGCUAUUUAGGUAGCGCCUCGUGAAUUCAUCUCCGGGGGUAGAGCACUGUUUCGGCAAGGGGGUCAUCCCGACUUACCAACCCGAUGCAAACUGCGAAUACCGGAGAAUGUUAUCACGGGAGACACACGGCGGGUGCUAACGUCCGUCGUGAAGAGGGAAACAACCCAGACCGCCAGCUAAGGUCCCAAAGUCAUGGUUAAGUGGGAAACGAUGUGGGAAGGCCCAGACAGCCAGGAUGUUGGCUUAGAAGCAGCCAUCAUUUAAAGAAAGCGUAAUAGCUCACUGGUCGAGUCGGCCUGCGCGGAAGAUGUAACGGGGCUAAACCAUGCACCGAAGCUGCGGCAGCGACACUAUGUGUUGUUGGGUAGGGGAGCGUUCUGUAAGCCUGUGAAGGUGUGCUGUGAGGCAUGCUGGAGGUAUCAGAAGUGCGAAUGCUGACAUAAGUAACGAUAAAGCGGGUGAAAAGCCCGCUCGCCGGAAGACCAAGGGUUCCUGUCCAACGUUAAUCGGGGCAGGGUGAGUCGACCCCUAAGGCGAGGCCGAAAGGCGUAGUCGAUGGGAAACAGGUUAAUAUUCCUGUACUUGGUGUUACUGCGAAGGGGGGACGGAGAAGGCUAUGUUGGCCGGGCGACGGUUGUCCCGGUUUAAGCGUGUAGGCUGGUUUUCCAGGCAAAUCCGGAAAACCAAGGCUGAGGCGUGAUGACGAGGCACUACGGUGCUGAAGCGACAAAUGCCCUGCUUCCAGGAAAAGCCUCUAAGCAUCAGGUAACAUCAAAUCGUACCCCAAACCGACACAGGUGGUCAGGUAGAGAAUACCAAGGCGCUUGAGAGAACUCGGGUGAAGGAACUAGGCAAAAUGGUGCCGUAACUUCGGGAGAAGGCACGCUGAUAUGUAGGUGAAGCGACUUGCUCGUGGAGCUGAAAUCAGUCGAAGAUACCAGCUGGCUGCAACUGUUUAUUAAAAACACAGCACUGUGCAAACACGAAAGUGGACGUAUACGGUGUGACGCCUGCCCGGUGCCGGAAGGUUAAUUGAUGGGGUCAGCGCAAGCGAAGCUCUUGAUCGAAGCCCCGGUAAACGGCGGCCGUAACUAUAACGGUCCUAAGGUAGCGAAAUUCCUUGUCGGGUAAGUUCCGACCUGCACGAAUGGCGUAAUGAUGGCCAGGCUGUCUCCACCCGAGACUCAGUGAAAUUGAACUCGCUGUGAAGAUGCAGUGUACCCGCGGCAAGACGGAAAGACCCCGUGAACCUUUACUAUAGCUUGACACUGAACAUUGAGCCUUGAUGUGUAGGAUAGGUGGGAGGCUUUGAAGUGUGGACGCCAGUCUGCAUGGAGCCGGCCUUGAAAUACCACCCUUUAAUGUUUGAUGUUCUAACGUUGGCCCCUGAUCGGGGUUGCGGACAGUGUCUGGUGGGUAGUUUGACUGGGGCGGUCUCCUCCUAAAGAGUAACGGAGGAGCACGAAGGUUGGCUAAUCCUGGUCGGACAUCAGGAGGUUAGUGCAAUGGCAUAAGCCAGCUUGACUGCGAGCGUGACGGCGCGAGCAGGUGCGAAAGCAGGUCAUAGUGAUCCGGUGGUUCUGAAUGGAAGGGCCAUCGCUCAACGGAUAAAAGGUACUCCGGGGAUAACAGGCUGAUACCGCCCAAGAGUUCAUAUCGACGGCGGUGUUUGGCACCUCGAUGUCGGCUCAUCACAUCCUGGGGCUGAAGUAGGUCCCAAGGGUAUGGCUGUUCGCCAUUUAAAGUGGUACGCGAGCUGGGUUUAGAACGUCGUGAGACAGUUCGGUCCCUAUCUGCCGUGGGCGCUGGAGAACUGAGGGGGGCUGCUCCUAGUACGAGAGGACCGGAGUGGACGCAUCACUGGUGUUCGGGUUGUCAUGCCAAUGGCACUGCCCGGUAGCUAAAUGCGGAAGAGAUAAGUGCUGAAAGCAUCUAAGCACGAAACUUGCCCCGAGAUGAGUUCUCCCUGACUCCUUGAGGGUCCUGAAGGAACGUUGAAGACGACGACGUUGAUAGGCCGGGUGUGUAAGCGCAGCGAUGCGUUGAGCUAACCGGUACUAAUGAACCGUGAGGCUUAACCUU
rnacentral:rRNA from 1 species